UUACCUUUCUCGGCCUUUUGGCUAAGAUCAAGUGUAGUAUCUGUUCUUAUCAGUUUAAUAUCUGAUACGUGGGUUAUAAGCUCACAUGAUAUUAAAUUAAUUUUUCAUGGGGAAGGACUCACCACAGUAGCUUGCUGCUAGAGUUCUUGAGUGUAGCCUUUGCGUUGCACUAAAGCUUGGGCUUGGCACACCCCAC